rnacentral:rRNA from 1 species
UUAUUACAAGAUGGCAAACCUGUUGCAUACUUUUCUGAAAAAUUGAGUGGGCCUAGUCUGAAUUAUUCUACUUAUGAUAAAGAAUUAUAUGCUCUUGUUCGGACUUUAGAAACAUGGCAACAUUAUUUAUGGCCCAAAGAAUUUGUUAUACAUUCUGAUCAUGAAUCUUUAAAACAUAUUAAAAGUCAAGCUAAACUGAAUCGUAGACAUGCUAAAUGGGUUGAAUUCAUUGAGACUUUCCCUUAUGUCAUUAAACACAAGAAGGGAAAAGAAAAUGUUAUUGCUGAUGCAUUGUCUCGUCGCUAUACUAUGCUUUCACAACUUGAC